UAGGCGAACGGCUGAGUAACACGUGGGCAACCUGCCCCUCUCAUCGGGAUAGCCACGGGAAACCGUGGAUAAUACCGAAUACUUCGAGUCUCCCGCAUGGAAGACUCGAGAAAGCUCCGGCGGAGAGGGAUGGGCCCGCGGCCUGUUAGCUUGUUGGUGGGGUAACGGCCUACCAAGGCAAUGAUGGGUAGCUGGGUUGAGAGACCGACCAGCCAGAUUGGGACUGAGACACGGCCCAG
rnacentral:rRNA from 1 species